AUGAGACGGGAGUAUCUUGCCGAGCUACAGCGCCUCAAGGAACAAGAACCUGAUCCAGAGCUCACUCCGUUCAAUCCGAGGCCAUUCGGCGCCACCGGCCCGGAGGUUCUACCUUAUCCUUUCAAAGACGGCGUCGUCUCCAUUGGUCUCUUCCAUGGAGAGAUGAUGAUCUUCGCGUGCUCGGGAACAGCCGUACAAUGCCGGAACGGCAUGGUACGAGACUGCCACAGCGUAUUCGUGACCACGGUGAAUCUGGCGCUGGAGUUCGAGAGCAAGAGGAAAAGGGACGAUAACUUCAGCGUCAGAGUGCGUGUCCCUGACGGUGACAUCAUCUAUGGGUUCCUGGGACUGUUUGAUAGAACAACAAACGUUGCUGUUAUCACGGCCUUCAACUCAAGUUAUGUCUAUCAUGUGGAUACAUCUGUGCCUGUGGAUCUGCUCCAGGGCACGGGUACGCGUACUCUGGCCGCCGCCGGCCGUGCCUCCGGCGGCACUCUGAUGAGAUCGGAAUGCUCUAACGUUGUUUUCAGAGAUGGCAUUGUGUCCUGCCGUUGUGAUAUCACGGAGGCUGGCCUUGGAGGGCCAGUUAUGUUGCUUGAUGGUGAUGGAAAUGGACACUUUGCUGGAGUGAUAACUACGUUGUCAGCAGAUGGUUUCGCCUUCCUACCAACGGAGUCCCUUCAUGAAAGGCUGCAGCAUUUUCAGAUAACCAGUAAAGCCACCCAAUUCCGUGGGUAUUCCUUGCCUAAAGAUGUGGAGUGUGUCGUCCCUGCAGGAUUCAAACUAAGUUCUAAUACUCUAAAAUCUUGGGGCUAUCCCCUACCACCGCCGCUUGUGUUUGAGCUCAACGGGAGAAUAGUGUGUACCUUUGAAGAGCGGUUUGGUGAACUUCAUGCUUGGGAAGGGUAUCCUUUCAAUGUUAAGAAGCCUAUCUCCCAGUCUAUCUGGGAUCAACUCGGAAAAGAAGUUGUUCAGAGAGUAUCCAAGAGUGUUGUCUCAAUUGCUUCAUACAAGGGACGGAAUGACAAGGAUACGGUUAGGUUUUUUGCCUGCACAGGCCUGCUUAUAACUAGAGGGGGCGCGAGUUUGUCCUUACUUCGGCCAAUUUGGUUAGAACCAGUGAUGUUGAAGGGGACAUUGAUCUGA
rnacentral:rRNA from 1 species